GGUCUUCUAGGGGAGGGGCCUGUUGCUGGGAUUCUCAGGUGGACUUUGCCCUGGUGGAACUGGGCCUCCCUUGCACAGAGGCCGGGCUCAGUAUAAGCAGCUCUGGGUCCACUAGGUGGUGCUGUUUUGCUGUCUGAAGGCUUUGAGCUCUGGUGAGCGGGAUGAACAUGGCUGCACCGGGCUCUCUAGCCUGGAGCUGGAAAUUCACAGCCCCCACUGUUCAGUGAGCCCGCACAGAAAAGCAAUCAAUCACUCUGGUCUCCCCGGUUUCCCUGGGAACUCUGUGUUCACCCCGCCUGUGACCAAGUGAUUUUAUGUCAGGCACGAGACUGAGUUUCAAAACUCCAAACCUGAUGGACUCCUGCAGUGUAUAUCCUUGUAGUUCCUCCCCGGGAUGCGGGGGACGAGGGCGGUUUCCCCGUGCUUCUGCCUAUUACUGGGCCGCGGCUCCAAGACUGGUUUGCCGACUGUGCAGCAGUUCACAGUUUAUGGCAACACAGCGGGCAUCAUGGCUGGUCUGUUUGUCGUUGUGGUCACUGGCGCUGUGCUGGUUGGAGCUGUCAUGUGGAGGAAGUAGAGCUCAGUCCUGCCCUAGGUCUGUAGUGACAGUCCUGGAAACUUCCCUGUGGUCCAGGCUAUCCAUUUCAUCUUGGAUCUCGGGGUGUGUCUCCUCCAUGGCAUCUCAUGGGAUGUUUUCUUUCCCAGGUGGAAGCAGAAGGAGUUACGCUCAGGCUGCAAGAUUAGCCUGUUUUCAUGUUCGGGGAGGAGUUCUGGUCUCAUUCAGCUUCGAGUGCCUCCUGUCUGACGGCGGCAGGAGGUAGUCGGCCCAUCGGUGUCUCCACAAGGCCCACGAAUCCGGAGCAUCCAGAGGUUAUUUUCAGACUCAUGGAGGUCUUGCCCUCCUUCUGGGGCUCGGCUGUUCCCUCGG
rnacentral:lncRNA from 1 species